rnacentral:lncRNA from 1 species
UUACAAAUUAACUAAGGCCUCCAAUGAUUGGGAAACUUGCUUCCUCUGAACCAAAGGAGCAGGAAGAGGCCUUGUAGGAUCUUUUUAUUCUCAUAGAAACUAACACCUGAAACUUCAACAUCGAAUGUUGUAAAUCACGAAUUCCUAGUUAUCAUGAAUUUUCUAUUAUUUCUUCAGGAAGUUGAUGUGAAGAUGUUCCAGAAUUAUGAGAGCUGGAAGAGUCUACAACCCAAAGUGUUUCACAAAGCCUAUGCUAGUAUUAAGGGACAGAGCGGACUACAUUUCGUAGAAGGUACGUGGCAUCAUGUGAAAUGAAGACAGUAACGCUCUGUGGUGCUUCUAUAAUCGCAACCAUUUGUUCAGCAGAAAGUACAAACACAAAUAGCCAUUGAUAUAGGCAUAUUUGUUUCAGACAUUGUAUUCUUCUUUGAAAUAUGUAUGCUGAACAUUUGCAAAGCCUAGUACGUCUUACACAGAGUGGAAACAAUCGAACAUGGAGGGUGAGGAACCAUGGGACAAGAGAAAGAACAACUGGUAACUAAAUGAGCAAAAACAGGAGACAGACAAGUGGAACCACAACUGCGGACAUUUCCUAGUGACUUCUGUCUAAGAAUUACUCUAACGAGGAAAAAGGGGUAGUUUAUUCCAGAACUGCACUAAAAUUAUGCUUAAAUAAAAUCUCUAGCUGACUAUUCA